CGCAGCCGCGGUAAUUCCAGCUCCAAUAGCGUAUAUUAAAGUUGCUGCAGUUAAAAAGCUCGUAGUUGAAUUUCGGGACCAUCACGUCGGUCGUGCCUCGGUACGUACUGGCGUCGUUGGUUUCUCCCUUCUGACGAACCAUGAUGUCAUUUAUUUGGUGUCGUGGGGAAUCAGGACUGUUACUUUGAAAAAAUUAGAGUGUUUAAAGCAGGCUCACGCUUGAAUACAUUAGCAUGGAAUAAUGAAAUAGGACGUUUGAUUCUAUUUUGUUGGUUUCUAGGAUCGACGUAAUGAUUAAUAGGGAUAGUUGGGGGCAUUAGUAUUCAAUUGUCAGAGGUGAAAUUCUUGGAUUUAUUGAAGACUGACUACUGCGAAAGCAUUUGCCAAGGAUGUUUUCAUUAAUCAAGAACGAAAGUUAGGGGAUCGAAGACGAUCAGAUACCGUCGUAGUCUUAACCAUAAACUAUGCCGACUAGGGAUCGGAUGAUGUUAAUUUUAAUGACUCAUUCGGCGCCUUAAC
rnacentral:rRNA from 1 species